rnacentral:lncRNA from 1 species
AUAUGUUUUCACUCAAAGAUAGUGGGAUUUACUAAGAGAUCACUUGAUUUAAAGUCUCACACUCUAUCUUAUGCUCUAAUACUAUGUAAAAAAUAGCCUAAAAUGUUGCUUAGAACCUUGGUCUUAACAAAUCUACAAGAGAAAUCGAUAACAAAUAGAAGAAAUCUUAAUAAAAUGGGAGGAUGAGAUAAUGAGAGCAAUGAUCUUUCGAGAAAACCUUGAUAGGAUAAAACAAAAAGUGUUAUCCCAGAGGCUUCGAAU